rnacentral:rRNA from 1 species
AGAGUUUGAUUAUGGCUCAAGAUGAACGCUGGCGGCGUGCUUAACCAUGCAAGUCGAGCGAAGCACUUUUUUAGAACUCUUCGGAGGGAAGAGAGGGUGACUUAGCGGCGGACGGGUGAGUAACGCGUGGGCAACCUGCCUUACACAGGGGGAUAACAAUUAGAAAUGAUUGCUAAUACCGCAUAAGACCCCAGUACCGCAUGGUACAGGGGUAAAAACUGAGGUGGUGUAAGAUGGACCCGCGUCUGAUUAGGUAGUUGGUGGGGUAGAAGCCUACCAAGCCGACGAUCAGUAGCCGACCUGAGAGGGCGACCGGCCACAUUGGGACUGAGACACGGCCCAAACUCCUACGGGAGGCAGCAGUGGGGAAUAUUGCACAAUGGGGGAAACCCUGAUGCAGCGACGCCGCGUGAGUGAGGAAGUAUUUCGGUAUGUAAAGCUCUAUCAGCAGGGAAGAAAAUGACGGUACCUGACUAAGAAGCCCCGGCUAACUACGUGCCAGCAGCCGCGGUAAUACGUAGGGGGCAAGCGUUAUCCGGAUUUACUGGGUGUAAAGGGAGCGUAGACGGAAUUGCAAGUCUGAUGUGAAAAUCCGGGGCCCAACCCCGGAACUGCAUUG